rnacentral:rRNA from 1 species
CACCGGCGGCUCGAGUGGUGGCCACUUUUAUUGGGUCUAAAGCGUCCGUAGCCGGCUUGGCAAGUCCCCUGGGAAAUCUGGCGGCUUAACCGUCAGGCGUCCAGAGGAUACUGCCAGGCUUGGGACCGGGAGAGGUGAGAGGUACCUCAGGGGUAGGGGUGAAAUCUUGUGAUCCCUGAGGGACCACCAGUGGCGAAGGCGCCCUUCUGGACGGUUACUGACGCUGAGACGCGAAAGCGUGGGGAGCAAACAGG